rnacentral:rRNA from 1 species
CCUACGGGAGGCAGCAGUGAGGAAUAUUGGUCAAUGGGCGCGAGCCUGAACCAGCCAAGUCGCGUGAGGGAGGACGGCCCUACGGGUUGUAAACCUCUUUUGCCGGGAGGCAACGGGCGGCCCGUGUGGCGCCCCUGAGAGUACCCGGAGAAAAAGCAUCGGACAACUGCGUGCCAGCAGCCGAGGUAAUAGGGGGGAUGAGAGCGUUAUCAGGUUUUAUUGUGUUUAAGGGGUGCGUGGGCGGAUUGUUAAGUCAGGGGUAAAAUUGCGGGGCUCAACCCCUUCCCGCCAUUGAAACUGGCGUUCUGGAGUGGACGUGCAGUAUGCGGAAUGCGUGGUGUAGCGGUGAAAUGCAUAGAUAUCACGCAGAACCCCGAUUGCGAAGGCAGCAUGCCGGCUUCCGACUGACGCUGAAGCACGAAAGCGUGGGGAUCGAACAGGAUUAGAUACCCGUGUAGUC